rnacentral:tRNA from 1 species
CGGGCUGUAGCGCAGCUUGGUAGCGCGCUUGACUGGGGGUCAAGAGGUCGGCGGUUCGAAUCCGCCCAGCCCGA